CUUUGGUGUUUACCAGGUAUUGUCCUACCUGGCAGCUCUCUUAGCUCUCUCUUCAGAAUUCAAUCAACUUCCUGUAGAUGAACUUUCCAGCAAAAGCUGUUCCUGCCCAGUUUGCAAGGCCCAGUCAGCUUGUACUCUCAGAGGGCCAGCACUCCACUCUGAUGGAAAUCUGCCUGUGAUGCCAGCCUGGGGAGUGCCCUUCACACGUGAUCUCAUCUAAGCCUGGCUUGACAGGGUCGGCUUUUGAAGGAACCCACUUGAAGACAGGAGCAACUCAUCUGCGCCCGUGACUUUAAAACUCUUCAGGAGGCUCCUCCGUGUGUAAGAAGAGGAGGAAGAGGAGGAAGCUUAGGAAUCCUCUCUGAAGGGGACGUGGUUCUUGGAGGCCUGAUUUAUAUUGGGGAGAAUCCUGAAACCAAUCACUGAGGGAGCACUACCCUUUAUGAUGGGGAUGGAAAAGCCACAGCAACCCUAUGGCCUCUAGUUUUGGAGAGGGACUCAGCUAAAGACCAAAGGA